rnacentral:tRNA from 1 species
GGUCCCGUAGCUCAGGCUGGUCAGAGCACUAGGCUUUUAACCUAGGUGUCGGGGGUUCAAAUCCCCUCGGGGCCA